rnacentral:rRNA from 1 species
AUCGGGACCUACCCAGACGUGGGGGAUAACGUAGGGAAACUUACGCUAAUACCGCAUACGUCCUACGGGAGAAAGCGGGGGAUCGCAAGACCUCGCGCGGUUGGAUGGACCGAUGUGCGAUUAGCUUGUUGGUGAGGUAACGGCUCACCAAGGCGACGAUCGCUAGCUGGUCUGAGAGGAUGAUCAGCCACACUGGGACUGAGACACGGCCCAGACUCCUACGGGAGGCAGCAGUGGGGAAUAUUGGUCAAUGGGCGCAAGCCUGAUCCAGCAAUGCCGCGUGUGUGAAGAAGCCCUCGGGUUGUAAAGCACUUUUAUCAGGAGCGAAAUCUGCAAGGUUAAUACCUUUGCAGUCUGACG